rnacentral:rRNA from 1 species
AGAUUGAACGCUGGCGGCAUGCCUUACACACGCAAGUCGAACGGCAGCACGGGGGCAACCCUGGUGGCGAGUGGCGAACGGGUGAGUAACAUAUCGGAACGUGCCCUGGAGUGGGGGAUAACUAGUCGAAAGAUUAGCUAAUACCGCAUACGAUCUACGGAUGAAAGUGGGGGAUCGCAAGACCUCAUGCUCGUGGAGCGGCCGAUAUCUGAUUAGCUAGUUGGUGGGUAAAGGCCUACCAAGGCAUCGAUCAGUAGCUGGUCUGAGAGGACGACCAGCCACACUGGGACUGAGACACGGCCCAGACUCCUACGGGAGGCAGCAGUGGGGAAUUUUGGACAAUGGGCGCAAGCCUGAUCCAGCAAUGCCGCGUGAGUGAAGAAGGCCUUCGGUUGUAAGACUCUUUGUCAGGAAGAAACGGUAGGAGGUAAUACUUCUGCUAAUGACGGUACCUCGUAAGAAUAAGACACCGGCUAACUACGUA